rnacentral:rRNA from 1 species
AGUGAACGCUGGCGGUAGGCCUAACACAUGCGAGUCGAACGGCAGCACAGUAAGAGCUUGCUCUUACGGGUGGCGAGUGGCGGACGGGUGAGGAAUACAUCGGAAUCUACUUUUUCGUGGGGGAUAACGUAGGGAAACUUACGCUAAUACCGCAUACGACCCACGGGUGAAAGCAGGGGAUCUUCGGACCUUGCGCGAUUGAAUGAGCCGAUGUCGGAUUAGCUAGUUGGCGGGGUAAAGGCCCACCAAGGCGACGAUCCGUAGCUGGUCUGAGAGGAUGAUCAGCCACACUGGAACUGAGACACGGUCCAGACUCCUACGGGAGGCAGCAGUGGGGAAUAUUGGACAAUGGGCGCAAGCCUGAUCCAGCCAUACCGCGUGGGUGAAGAAGGCCUUCGGGUUGUAAAGCCCUUUUGUUGGGAAAGAAAAGCAGCAGGUUAAUACCCCGCUGUUCUGACGGUACCCAAAGAAUAAGCACCGGCUAACUUCGUG